GUGAAAAAGCCAUUACUUGACGUAGCGUAGUAACAUUUUGCCUUCGAUGGUAUUUUCAUCUAAUCGAACUGUUAAAAAAGGACGGCCGUAUAUGCUCACGUUGUGUAUAAAUUUAGAGGGACCGUCGAUAAGGAUCACUGAUUUCAGAAGAUUUCUGUACCCCGUGAGUUCGCACUGUACUGUGACAGGAAAAUGAGAAAACUCGUACUGACUUUGGUUUUCAUUGCAUGUAUCGCCUAUGGGUACUGUCGUUCUUUUUUGGCUGAAGACAACGCACGCUCAGCAGAGAGAGUGAGACAGAAAUUAUUUGCAAGGAUGAGUAAAAUGGACGACACCGCUGACACUAAGCGAAGAGGGGAAAAAAGGAGUCAAAACUGUAAACCACCUCAAUGUAAGAGUCACGGUUACCAUAUUGGCUGGCUUAUGGA